AGCGAACGCUGGCGGCAGGCCUAACACAUGCAAGUCGAACGAACCUUUCGGGGUUAGUGGCGGACGGGUGAGUAACACGUGGGAACGUGCCUUUAGGUUCGGAAUAACUCAGGGAAACGUGUGCUAAUACCGAAUGUGCCCUUCGGGGGAAAGAUUUAUCGCCUUUAGUGCGGCCCGCGUCUGAUUAGCUAGUUGGUUGAGGUAAUGGCUCACCAAGGCGACGAUCAGUAGCUGGUCUGAGAGGAUGAUCAGCCACAUUGGGACUGAGACACGGCCCAAACUCCUACGGGAGGCAGCAGUGGGGAAUCUUGCGCAAUGGGCGAAAGCCUGACGCAGCCAUGCCGCGUGAAUGAUGAAGGUCUUAGGAUUGUAAAAUUCUUUCACCGGGGCCGAUAAUGACGGUACCCGGAGAAGAAGCCCCGGCUAACUUCGUG
rnacentral:rRNA from 1 species